GGAGUCGGCCGGACAGUCGCCGCCGCAGUCGCGGGGGAGGAAAGUCCGGGCUUCACAGGGCAGGGUGCCAGGUAACGCCUGGGAGGCGCGAGCCUACGGAAAGUGCAACAGAGAGCAGACCGCCUCCGGCCUUCGGGUCGGCGGUAAGGGUGAAAGGGUGCGGUAAGAGCGCACCGCGUCGCGGGUAACCGUUGACGGCACGGCAAACCCCACCCGAAGCAAGGCCAAAUAGGGACGCCAUGACGUGGCCCGCGUCGCGUCCGGGUAGGCCGCUGGAGCCGACGGGUGACCGUCGGCCUAGACGAAUGACUGUUCACGACAGAACCCGGCUUACAGGCCGACUCCCUCU
rnacentral:RNase_P_RNA from 1 species